GGGCCCGUAGCUCAGCUAGGUUAGAGCACCCGGCUCAUAACCGGGGGGUCGCCGGUUCAAAUCCGGCCGGGCCCA
rnacentral:tRNA from 1 species